UACGUAGGGUGCAAGCGUUAAUCGGAAUUACUGGGCGUAAAGCGUGCGUAGGCGGCUAUGUAAGACAGAUGUGAAAUCCCUGGGCUUAACCUAGGAACUGCAUUUGUGACUGCAUUGCUAGAGUGUGGUAGAGGGAGAUGGAAUUCCGCGUGUAGCAGUGAAAUGCGUAGAUAUGCGGAGGAACACCAAUGGCGAAGGCAAUCUCCUGGACCUGCACUGACGCUCAUGCACGAAGCGUGGGGAGCAAACAGG
rnacentral:rRNA from 1 species